rnacentral:lncRNA from 1 species
CGAUCUUGAAAGUUUAACGUAAGGUAAAGGGAUGUAACUCAUUUUAUUUACGACGAAAUCGUCAGUCAAAAUAAUUCAUAAACUUUUUUGAUUGGCUUAUCAAUAGGUCGUCAACUCAUUUGCAUAUCAUUAUAAAUUCAUAACUUUUAGUUCACUCACAUGUGACCUCAAGGCCGGUUUCGUUGGAUCUCCCACGCGACAUAUCAGAAAAUGGAAGUGAUGAGAGAUCGGUUUUUAAUGAGAUUGAAA